rnacentral:rRNA from 1 species
GGUGCUAAUACCGCAUAACCAUAGUUACCGCAUGGUAACUAUGUAAAAGGUGGCUAUGCUACCGCUUUUGGAUGGGCCCGCGGCGCAUUAGCUAGUUGGUGGGGUAAAGGCUUACCAAGGCAAUGAUGCGUAGCCGAACUGAGAGGUUGAUCGGCCACAUUGGGACUGAGACACGGCCCAAACUCCUACGGGAGGCAGCAGUAGGGAAUCUUCCACAAUGGGCGAAAGCCUGAUGGAGCAACGCCGCGUGGGUGAAGAAGGUCUUCGGAUCGUAAAACCCUGUUGUUAGAGAAGAAAGUGCGUGAGAGUAACUGUUCACGUUUCGACGGUAUCUAACCAGAAAGCCACGGCUAACUACGUGCCAGCAGCCGCGGUAAUACGUAGGUGGCAAGCGUUAUCCGGAUUUAUUGGGCGUAAAGGGAACGCAGGCGGUCUUUUAAGUCUGAUGUGAAAGCCUUCGGCUUAACCGGAGUAGUGCAUUGGAAACUGGGAGACUUGAGUGCAGAAGAGGAGAGUGGAACUCCAUGUGUAGCGGUGAAAUGCGUAGAUAUAUGGAAGAACACCAGUGGCGAAAGCGGCUCUCUGGUCUGUAACUGACGCUGAGGUUCGAAAGCGUGGGUAGCAAACAGGAUUAGAUACCCUGGUAGUCCACGCCGUAAACGA